AUAUAUAUAUAAUCUAUAAUCCGCACUGCAAGUAUUUUUUCACCAAUCAAACAUUAUUCUAUACCGCUUAUUUUGUUUAAACCGCACUUCUCCCGCAAAUAUAUUUCUCCCGCACGUACCGCUGUUGAACCGUACCGCACUGUAAUAAUGCUUUUCCCGCACAACAAAAAACGCGGUUACCAUUCGGACCCUUAAAUGCAGUGUAAAGUGAAGUGCAUUUUUUUGUUUGCUGAGUAAUAAAGGUGUCUUGAAAAAUGUGAGCAGUUUUUAUGAAAAGUAUAAAUUUAUAUAACUAAGGCUGUGAUUGGUGAAGAGAAAAAUGCGGAUUUCAAGCUGCAUUUUUCAAAAACGCACCUUAGCAACCAAUCAACCAAAUUUUGUAUAUUUGCGUCUUUCUAAAAAAAAAGUCACGCAUCCACACUAAUAUUUGUUUUUUUUUUAAUUCUGAUUCAUUUAAUAAUUUUAAACCAAAUAAUAUACAUAAAUCACAUAUACUAUACAAGUAUACAUACAUCCACAUAUUAAGGCUCUGUUCUUUUUUCACACGCUGCGAUCAGAUCCAGCGACCAAAAAAACAGUUGCUUAACACAUAAUUACUUUGAAAUCUGUAGAGAGUUAUGUGGAGAGGAGUCGCUCGAUUUUAAAAACAGCGACCUAUAAGGCAUAUACACAUGUCGCCAAAAUUAACAGCGGCUCAACAUCUUCGCUAGGGACGUCGCCGGCGUCCAUAUUGAGCGACUGUUUUUGUAUCUCCGUUAUCAUUUUUAUCUUAUCGAAGUCGCUGUCGCUGUCGCAACGAUUAAUAAACGAACAGGCCCUAAAUAAACUACUUUAUUAAUAUUAUUUAACAAUUAUAUAUUAAAUAAUAAUAACUAUAUAUUUUAUUUCAAAUUUUAAAAUAACAAAUUCAUUUUAAUAUAAUAACAAAUAGAUUUUAUAAAAUUAAAGUAUUUGAUAAUAGUUUUUUAUUAUGUUAUACUUUGUUUUAAUGAUUAAAUUCUAUAAUUGAAUUACUUUUUUAUGAUGAAACUAUUUAACAGAUUUAACAAUAUGUAUGUUAAAAAAUUAAAUUUAUAUUUAAAUCAAUUUGUGUAUUAAUGGUUUAUAAAUAUUUGUUAUUGUUUAUUUAUUACACAAAAAGUAAUUAAUUAUUAAUAUAUAUAUAUUCCAUAAUCCGCACCGCAACUAGUUUUUUUCACCAAUCAAACAUUAUUUUGUACCGCUUAUUUGAUAUAAACCGCAUUUAUCCCGCAAAUAUUUUUCUCCCGCACGUACCACAGUUGAACCGUACCGCACUGUAAUAACGCUUUCUCCGCACGGUAUGACAAUGCGGUACGGUUCAACUGCAGUACGGUUCAACUGCGGUACGUGCUGAAAAGCGGUAUGAUAGUGUGGUACGGUUCAACUGCGGUAUGUGCGGAAGAAAUAAGCGGUACAAAAUAAUGUUUGAUUGGUGAAAAAACUAUUUGCGGUGCAGAUUAUAGAUUAUAUAUAUAUAUAUAUAUAUUAAUAAUUAA
rnacentral:sRNA from 1 species